GUUUGAUCCUGGCUCAGGACGAACGCUGGCGGCGUGCUUAACACAUGCAAGUCGAGCGGAAAGGCCCCUUCGGGGGUACUCGAGCGGCGAACGGGUGAGUAACACGUGGGUAACCUGCCCUUGGCUUUGGGAUAACCUCGGGAAAUCGGGGCUAAUACCGAAUAUGACACGCGACCGCAUGGUCUGUGUGUGGAAAGAUUUUUCGGCUGAGGAUGGACUCGCGGCCUAUCAGCUUGUUGGUGGGGUAAUGGCCUACCAAGGCAUCGAUGGGUAGCUGGUCUGAGAGGACGAUCAGCCACACUGGGACUGAGACACGGCCCAGACUCCUACGGGAGGCAGCAGUGGGGAAUCUUGCGCAAUGCGCGAAAGCGUGACGCAGCAACGCCGCGUGGGGGAAGACGGCCUUCGGGUUGUAAACCCCUUUCAGGAGGGACGAAGGUUCGCCGGUGAAUAGCCGUGUGGAUUGACGGUACCUCCAGAAGAAGCUCCGGCUAACUACGUGCCAGCAGCCGCGGUAAUACGUAGGGAGCAAGCGUUGUCCGGAAUCAUUGGGCGUAAAGCGCGCGUAGGCGGCCCUGUAAGUCCGUUGUGAAAGUCAAAGGCUCAACCUUUGAAAGCCGAUGGAUACUGCAGGGCUAGAGUCCGGAAGAGGCGAGUGGAAUUCCUGGUGUAGCGGUGGAAUGCGCAGAUAUCAGGAGGAACACCAAUAGCGAAGGCAGCUCGCUGGGACGGUACUGACGCUAAGGCGCGAAAGCGUGGGGGGCGAACAGGAUUAGAUACCCUGGGUAGUCCACGCCGUAAACGAUGGGCACUAGGUGUGGGAGGUGUCGACUCCUCCCGUGCCGUCGCUAACGCACUAAGUGCCCCGCCUGGGGAGUACGGCCGCAAGGCUAAAACUCAAAGGAAUUGACG
rnacentral:rRNA from 1 species